ACACAGUAUUUCUCAUCCUGUAUUCUUUCC
rnacentral:piRNA from 1 species